rnacentral:misc_RNA from 1 species
UUUCCGUAGGUGAACCUGCGGAAGGAUCAUUCAUAAUAAGUGUUUUAUGGCACUUUUUUAAAUCCAUAUCCACCUUGUGUGCAAUGUCAGGGUUGAUUUUUCUCUCGAGAGGAUCAGCCCCAAACAUCAACUAUAUCUCAACCCUUUGUCUGAAAAAUAUUAUGAAUAAACAAUUCAAAAUACAACUUUCAACAACGGAUCUCUUGGCUCUC